UUCAUUCCUCAAGGGUUUCAUGUAGUUAAAUUCUUUUACUCUAUAGUUUAAUUAAGGGUUUAAGAUAUUAACCUAAAUUUUAAAAUUGGGGAUUUUUACAAUUCAAUCGAUCUUCAAGCGUUUUUUUUUUUUGAAUUUCAAGGGAAUAAAUUGGCGAAGACUACAAUAAAGCUGCUUGAUAGUGCUUUGAGCGGCUCAUAUCGAGAGGUAAGGAGUUGAAUUUUCACAUCCUGGAUUGUUGUUGUUUCAACGGUGAGUGGUAAUCAAAUCUUCACUACUUCUUCAUUUCUCUAAUCUUUUCUUCUGCAUUCUCAGUAUAAUACAACUGCGGCGCCGAGCUUGUUCUCUUGGCUAUUGAAAAUCUUAGUCCUAUUUGCUAUAUCUCGCCAGUUAUCUUUGAUUUUUGCAGGUUUAAUGACUUUUGACGAGGAACAAAGGUCGUUGGGGUAUAAGUGGCUAAGGUUAUUCUCCCUAAUUCCAUUCCAUUGCGUCAUUGUGGGAUGUACAAUUUAUGGCAGGAGCUAUGGUGUCUACGAGGAA